rnacentral:rRNA from 1 species
GACGGAGGAUGCAAGUGUUAUCCGGAAUCACUGGGCGUAAAGCGUCUGUAGGUGGUUCGAAAAGUCCACUGUUAAAAAUUGAAGCUUAACUUCAAAGAUGCCGUGGAAACUUUCAAACUAGAGUGUGGUAGGGGUAGAGGAAAUUUCCAGUGGAGCGGUGAAAUGCGUAGAGAUCGGGAAGAACAUCGGUGGCGAAAGCGCUCUACUGGACCGCAACUGACACUCAGGGACGAAAGCUAGGGGAGCGAAUGGG